UACAUAGGAGGUCACUCACCACAAAUCACAGUGCUGGAGAAGAGGCUAAAAGAUGGAUGAGGCCAAGACACAGAGCUGUGCUGAGAAAUGUCUGCUGGGAAAAAGACUAAUAUGCGCAGGGCAGGAGCAGAGGGAGCCAUGGAACCAUGAAACCACCUCCUGAACUGUGAUAGCUCUAGAAUCUACCUCCUCAUCCAAAACAGAUGGAAAGGCACACCAGGAAAAGAAACACUGACGCUCUUCAAAGUUAAUGAAAUCAAUCACAAAUAGAAAUUGCCCUUUAGCAGCAGUUCUCAUUCUACAGAGGAAAGAGGAAACAGCAAAGGAGAAUAUAUUGGUGAGAGCAGUAGCAAAGGGUCACUGGGAUGUCGUCAGUGCCAUCCACAAGAUUAAUAGCAUGAGCGAGAGAAGUGAUUCAAAUUCCUGAAUGGUUCAGACAGUGUGGAGUAUUUGAAACAUCUGCGCAGGGCUUGCAGCUACUGGACCUACAGGAGAACUGCACUCCUCUGGAGGAAUAGCUGGAAUGCAGGUGGGAUAUCCUACUGAUCUUUCCUCAGGCUUCUGCGUUUCACCUGAUAAACACUGAUAACAUAUUUCCGGUUACAAGAAGAAAAAAGGAAAUAUGCAUUUAUCUACAAUAUUUUUCAUUUCACUCUCCGAGUGAAAUUUAUUUAACAACCCCAAAAGCAAAUUAAUUGUACUAAUUUCUAAGUACAUGAGCAAUUUUAAAUUUGUCCUAGAUAAUAUGGGUUUUGAUGGAUGUUCUGUAAGUACGCAGAACUGCAUAAACGUGUGAGAUGGAAAAUAAUUCUGUAGUAGGACCUACUUUCUUUGGGGAGUUGGACUAGAUGACCUCCAGAAAUCCCUUCCAACAUAAAUUAGUUGAUUUUAUAAAAUAAAAAUGCAGUUUUUAAAAACACCUUCUGUGAAAAAGCUAUACAGCACAGUACCUUUGAUGAGAAGUAUUUAAUCACAGGAGAUAAUAAAGAACUGUGUGAUCACCCUACUGUAAUGUUGUAUAUUGUAUCAAUUUCUUAAAAAAAAAUAAAAGGAGGGGUGAGUGCAAUCUUACUACUUUAUUUUUCACUGUUAAAUAUUUUUCUUUUUACAGUAAAAAAUGUGCUCUAAAAAUGCAGUUCUUGUCAGGGAGAUGCACUGAAAUUCACUCAACAUUAAAUUGAGGUCAAUAAGACUACAAAGAUGAGAUUGAUAUGCAAGUAGUUUAAAUUUUCUGUAUGAAAAUAGAUCUUACUUAAAAGAUUUGGGACAUUGCAUGAAAGAAAAAUCUCUACUUGUAUAUUGAGAAAUGGAGACCUUCAAAAAGGUAAUUUUUAGAAAUUAUACAGGACUUGAAAAACAGAAAUUGAAUAUAAACCCUGAAAAAUACAGAGCAGUUCUAAUAUCAUAGUCAAAAAACAACUGAAUUCUGAAGAUAAUGAACUUUGGUAUUUAAAAAUAUCAUGUCAGACAUUGGUUUUAGCAUGUUCCAUCUUUCGAAGCCAUUUGAACAACAGAUUAAGUCACGAAGAGCUAUUGUGCUAUCAGUUUUCCAGUA